rnacentral:lncRNA from 1 species
UGACUCAGAAGAAGAGAAAAUAGCCUGUCUUUUACGGAUCCUCAUCGGUGCAAGAUUGAAAGAAGGAAAAAAAAACACUUUUUUUUUACACCCAAAACUCACGAGAUUCACUCUGAAAAAAUAAAUAUAAAGAAACGAUCUUUAUGAUUAUGAAGUUUUAUAAAGAUGGAAGAAAAAGCCAAAGAUUGAAAAUUUUAGUAAACCCAUUUGGUCUUACUAUAUGGGCAAGACUAAGAAAGAAAAAAAAUUGAUGCUUUUAAGUUUUAUCUUUCAUUUUUUUGGGACUAUAUAUUGAUUCCACACACACAUAUGAUGAGUUAGGAGAGUUUUUCUCUCUCUAACUUUUUAUUUGUUGCACCACAGAAAGGAAGGGAGUUGUAUGGGUGAAAAAUGGCACGUGUGAGAGAGUUUUUGGGAGGGGGGAGCACGUGUGAGGGUGGGGACUUGGAGAGACG